rnacentral:misc_RNA from 1 species
GUUUUCAUGUGCUGGAAUUGUCAUGCUUUUAUUCUCAACCAUGUUCCACAGCUCCAAAGACCUCAUUCCUCCAAUCACCAAUAGAGCUGAAUAACUAGGGUGAAAUACACAAGAGUGGAACUGAUUUCCGUUUGAACUUAGCUCGUGGAUGCAAUCACCAGUGUUCAGUGACCAAACUUUGACAGACUCCUCACUUACUGAUGCCAGUAGAUCACCAUUGAGAUCCCAACAAAGGUAGUUCACCACUCCAGUAUGUCCCUGGAAAGACUGCAGUUGCCUGUCAUUUUCGACAUCAAAGAUGGAUACCACCUUAUCUGAUGCAGCUGCCAGCAGCUGACCAGUUAUUGGCUGGAAUCUCACUUGUGCACUGCCUCCUUGCUUUGACACUCGAGUACAUGAGAAUGGACUAAUAGUCCAGUACCGAAUCUCAUCGUUGCUAUCACAGAAACAGAACAGAUCAUUCUUUUUCGGAUGGAAAUCCAGCGACAUAACAUGAGAAGAAUGCCCGGUGUAUGAAUUCAAACAGUAGCCAGGAUUGGCAGCAUCCCACAAUCUCACAGACUUAUCAAAUGAAGCAGUUGCAAGCUGAGUCGAAUUAGGCCUGAACCGGACAUCUGUAAUCAAGAAUUGAUGUUCUUCUGGGGUGGUCUCCGUUUGUAAGGUAUCCAUGUUCCACAGAACAGCCUUUUUGUCAUGUCCGGCACUAGCGAGCAGCUUUCCAUCUGAUGAGAAAUGGCAGCAAGUGACUUUAUUCCUUGUGCGUAUACAACCAACUUCACCGAAGGAGAACCCGCCUUUAGAAGACUCAGGUUUGUGCUCAGUAAUCGUUUGUUUCAUUGCUCCAUAGAUAUUACCAUCUCCCCCAUCAUUUGAUAAAAAUGACUCCACGUUAUCUUCCAGGGAACCAAUGUCUCCAAACGUCUCCAAGUCAUCCAGCUGAUUUGUAGAGGAUGCUAUACCACCAGUUCCAUCUCCUCCAUACAUCAUCAUGCUUUUUGACACACUGCCAACAUGCUGCAGACUACUGGCACUAGUCAUCCCGUCACCAGGUGUAUGAGUUGAUGCUGGUGAGCUUGGUGAAGGGCCAACAGUAUUUCCGGUGCCAGUACUAUUGGCAGGUCCAGACGACGAAUGCUGCUUCCUUUUUCUUCCAUUCUGUGGCAGUUGCUGCUGUUGCUGUUGCUGCUGCAACUGGUCCUGUUGUUGAGAGGAGGAUUGUGGAAUUUGGGCCAUUUUCAUCUUUGGUGAAUUUGAUUGUACUGGAGAGCAUAUGGAUCCGUCAUUUCUCGGUGGCUGACCAUCUUUUGCAUUGAAGUUACCUCUUGGUAAUCCACCAUAUCCAUAGCUAGGGGAAUUCAGGUUACCUUGUGCUUGAGCCUGUGCAAGAGCCUGCUGCUGUUGUUGUGAUGCCAAAAGAUAUUGAUUUUGGUUCUGUAUAUUGGGCUUCUGUACUUGCAAACCCACACUUGGCCUCAAAUGGUCAAUUCCAGUUAACGGCCAGCCCUUCAAUGGUAAACCAGUCAUACCUUGAUUUAAGCCUGCACCGCUGAGUCCUGACUUCGACUGUAGAAUAGCUUGCCCAUAAAUUGAUGAAGGAUCCAUGGGCAAAGAUUUCUGAGUACCACUCAAGUUCACUUCCGUUUUAAUAUCCGCAGCCAUCUGAGGGCGCCCUUGCAUUUGCUGCAAUGCUGCAGACAUGCUCCCCGAAUUGCCUUGUACCAACUGGCGUUGAUGAUUAGAUGCAGACUUGAGAAGUGCCAUCCUAUUGGGAUCAAUAAGAGGCGAAGAUGUCUCUGAGUCCAAGGAAUGAGGGUGCUUCAUUUGUUCCUCGUACAUUUUCAUGGCCAAAACACUAGCAGAUGGUUGCCCCAUCAUGCCGCCUUCCGAGUUUAUAGCGCUUAUAGGACCACCAAGGGAGGGAUUUUGAUCCCUUCGCUGUAACUGCGCAUUUCGUUGUUGCAUAAGUUGCAACUGCUGCAUCUGUAGCUGUUGUUGAUGUUCCCUUGCUUUCAUCUGCUGUGUCUCUAUGUACGCUGCUGCUGCUUCGGAAUGUUUUUCAUUUGUCCGUGCAAUGAAAAUGUCCCAAAACACAGACCACCAUUCGAAAAGAAACCCUCCAGGUGCAUCAAUGGCUACGGGAUCCGUAGCAACCUUCCCUUCCGUCAUGAAAGCUUUUGCAGAAUUAUGCAGCUUUCUUUUCAACAAAUAGUCAUGAAUGUAAACAUCAAGCAUCUUAUCUGCUUCCCAAUUACUCUGCGCCAUGACUUUCAAUCGACCACUUCCUGCAGGAAAUUCCACGCAGCCAACUACGAGUAAUCACAAAGCAAUUAUGAAGAUCAAAUCCAGCAUUGCUGAUUCAACAAAAAUCUCUGAAAGAAACAGUAAUUCAAGUAGAACAGUUCCAAUUGAAGUCAGCUAAAUCAAGUUUCCGCACAAAACCUCCGAUCAAUUACACUUUUUCCGAAACAUUAAUCAACGAUUAGAACAUAAACUUAGAUGCUUAUCAUAAACAAUUUAACAGUUUCUUCUCUAAAAUUCACCAUUCAUACCCUU